GACGAACGCUGGCGGCGUGCUUAACACAUGCAAGUCGAACGGAAAGGCCCUGCUUUUGUGGGGUGCUCGAGUGGCGAACGGGUGAGUAACACGUGAGCAACCUGCCCUUGACUUUGGGAUAACUUCAGGAAACUGGGGCUAAUACCGGAUAGGAGCUCCUGCUGCAUGGUGGGGGUUGGAUAGUUUCGGCGGUUGGGGAUGGACUCGCGGCUUAUCAGCUUGUUGGUGGGGUAGUGGCUUACCAAGGCUUUGACGGGUAGCCGGCCUGAGAGGGUGACCGGCCACAUUGGGACUGAGAUACGGCCCAGACUCCUACGGGAGGCAGAAGUGGGGAAUAUUGCACAAUGGGCGGAAGCCUGAUGCAGCAACGCCGCGUGGGGGAUGACGGCCUUCGGGUUGUAAACCGCUUUCGCCUGUGACGAAGCGUGAGUGACGGUAAUGGGUAAAGAAGCACCGGCUAACUACGUG
rnacentral:rRNA from 1 species